rnacentral:misc_RNA from 1 species
UCCGGCUUGUCACCGGCAGUUUCUUCAGAGUCCCCAACUAAAUGAUGGUAACUGAAGAUGAGGGUUGCGCUCGUUGCGGGACUUAACCCAACAUCUCACGACACGAGCUGACGACAGCCAUGCAGCACCUGUCUCUGCCCCAGCCGAACUGAGACCUCUCAUUACAAAAGGCUUUAGGCAGGAUGUCAAGAGCUGGUAAGGUUUUUCGCGUAGCCUCGAAUUAAACCACAUGCUCCACCGCUUGUGCGGGUCCCCGUCAAUUCCUUUGAGUUUUAAUCUUGCGACCGUACUCCCCAGGCGGGGUGCUUAACGCGUUAGCUACGACACCGAAACUUAAGUUCCGACGUCUAGCACCCAUCGUUUAGGGCGUGGACUAC